CCGGCCUGCGCCCUGCGGGGGGUGGGCUGCAACGCUGGAGCACGCGCAUGCGCGGGACUCUUUCUGCGCGGGACUCUUUCUGCGCGGGACUCUCUUUCUCCGCGGGACUCUUUGUUCGCGGGAUUCCUCCGGUCACCUGGGCGGCCGUAUCUCAACCACCUGCCCCUCCGGGUCCCUUCUCGCCCUUGAUUCCUCCUGAUGGUUGUCAUGGUCAGCCCUCUUUUUCUUUCUUCUGCCGGCACCGCUAGACCUGGCCGUGACCGCCUGCCAACACCUCAGGUUCCACAGAUACAGGCCUCGGUGUGGCUUCCGCUUCCGGCGAGUAUUGUGUGUCGCGCCGCGGGGCGGGGCGAGGGGAGGAGGGAGGAGGAAGGAGGAAGGAGGAAGGCAGCGCUUCGCCGGCUCCGCGCCCGGACCUAAGCCAGGAAGGCGUUCCUCCCUUCCCCACAAAGCAAUGUUCAUUGUCCAGCAUAGAGAAAGCACUCCAAUCAUCCACUGAAUGGAUGAGGAACCCAACCACAGCCUUCCUCUGUCCACGAUUCUGCCUCCUUACCUGAUUUGGGGUAAGUCACUGUUACUACAUCUUCAGCCUUUAUCACAAAGUCAUCACGUAAUUGUCUUACGGUUUCAGGACAGAAGUUCUUAAAGAAAGGUACUCGUUCAACCCAUAAGUAGUCAUCUGACAUGGUGAUGAGCCCUUUCUGAGUGGUGUUACGUUUCCAGCUAUGGCCACCACUGGAGAUUGUGGAAGCUGCAACUAGAUCAAAUUUUAUGGCAGAAAUCAAACACUCAGUAACAUGGCCCCAGCGUGUCACAUGCUUGUGGUGAAGUUUUUUUAGCUGUUUAAAACAAAGUAAAUAUUGUGACUGAUAGCCAAAUAUCGAUGCUGUUGAGUAAUUGUGAAGUUUAUUUAGAAAACAUUCCAGGGUUGAUCUGAGUUUGAGUUUAAGGGAGUGAAAUGGAAAUUGAACCACAAACACAAGGAAAUAGAACUGUGUGCAUAUUUAAACAAAUAUUUGUUUCAGGAUUUUGUGCUGAUAAUGUAUUGGACAGAAGUCUGUACAAAGGCAAACCUUACUUUGGAAACAGAGUUCUCUUGAGUCUCCUGGCCCUCCAGGGUUGGGUGAGUGUAGGGGCCCAGCCAGGGCAGAAGCUUGAUGGCCUAUGCCCCCCUUUCCCAGCCCCAUUUGAGGCUCCCACAUGGAACUGGAAGGAUGCUUCGUGGAGCCCUCAGGAGCUGUUAGUGAGGGUAGGUGUGUCAUGGGGCGACUGCCAGUCUCAGCCCGUCUGAACAUCACCUAGAGCAGAAUGGAAGGGAGGGAAGGAAUACACGGUUAGCUUUUGCCUUUCAGAGAUCCCCUUCCCCUGUCCCUCACGAAGAAUAGGAAUUCUUUUGUAAUAGGUGCUACAUUAAAAGUUGCAGGCUUCAGCCUGGGCAACACCACGGACCUCCUCUUUACCAACAAUUUAAAAAAUAGCCAGGUAUGGCAGUGCAAGACUGUAGUCCCAGCUACUCGGGAGGCUGCAGUGGGAGAAUCCAUGAGCCUGGGAGGUUGAGGCUGCAGUGAGCUUUGAUGGUGCCACUGCACUCCAGCCUGGUGUCAGAGCAAGACUCUGUCUCUCAAAAAACAAAACAAAAACAAAAAUAAACCCAAUUACUAUUUUUUCCUAUUAAAUCCUGAGUUGGGUCGAUAGAUUGAGCACGUGUGUGUCAAACCAUGUGCUGAUAAUAUAUAAACAUAAAUCUCACUCAUUUGUUGACACUUUUGUACUUCUGAGGGAAGAAGAUAAGAAACAAGCCACAUCUAAUAAUAAUUUUCAGAGAUAAGAGGAGUUUAGCCGGCAAAGAGCUAGGGGUGCACAGGUGCUAUCUAGGACACAGACCGCUCUGACAUCAAGAUCAGAUGGUUAAACUUUACCAAACACUCUAGUGUUUCAAAAACUCUGUUUUAUUCUUUACUAUUACCAAAUAACUUUAGACAUUGAUCAUAAGUAUGAUACCGUGACUGACAGAUAAUUAUAAAGAACAUUAUGAACACUUUAGAUAUACCACACCAUUAAAUCCUCAGAAUGAUUGCAUGAGUUGAAUUAGAACGGCGUAGACCUCACCUACUUCACACCCUGUAAAGACUAAGACACUGGAUAAAGUUGUUCAGUUAGCCAGUAGUUGGAAGGGACAUAUGUCCAGUCCCUUGACAAUGCACCCUAUGAUCUAUACUAGAUUACAGCUCUCCCCAGGUGUCAAGUCAGUCCAUGCUCUGUAAUGGACUGUUGUUAUCCCAGGAGAUACCUGAGGCCAUGCAAUGAAUCACAGUUACCUCAGUUGCUCUGUAUUGGACUACACUUAGCCCAGGUAAUACCUGAGUCCGUGCUCCAUAAUCGACUACAAUUACCCCAGGUGAAACCUGAGUCCAUGUUCCAUAAUCGACUUCUGAUCUCAAGUGUUUAUUUCAGGGUAUAAACUUCAGUGUACCACGAAUUCUAUAAGCUAAAAAGCAAAUCAAACUUAUAUGUGUUUAGUCAGCAAUAGUAGAGACAGCAUAUGUCUGCCCCUGGUCAUCUGGGCCCACAGUCUGUUUUCCAUACAUUUUGAUAUGCUGUGUUUUCAUUUCUAUUCAGUUAAUAGGACUUUGUAAUGUCUAAUUACUUCUUUGACCCGUAGGCUAUUCAGAUAUGUGUUGUUUAUUUUUAAAGUGCUUCAGGAGAAGCCAACUCUGCCAACACCUUGAUCUUGGACUUCUAGCUUCCAGAAGUGUUAGAAAAUAAAUUCCUGUUGUUCAAUUCCACCCAAUCCUUGGUACUUUGUUAUAGCCACGCCCUAG
rnacentral:lncRNA from 1 species